AGUAACCAGUCAUGACUCCAGAUAAAGAAGCGAGCAUUCCCUUUUUGGCUGAUGAACUAGAUGGGCAGAAUGAGACACACAUUUUCAGUCAUCAAAGUCCAGUGGCAAGACAAAAGUAAGGACAACUGGUCAUGGCACAGGAUGCAGUGGGUGACUUUGGCAUCUUCAAUGUCUGACCAAGCUCUUUGGUUUCCACAGCGCCUGCUGUAGCCACCUUCAUGGCUAUUGGAACAAAUUGUUCUCAUCUGCCCAUUCCACCAGGAAUUCCAUCCUUAAGAGCUUCCAAUCCCAUAAGAAAUGAUGAGCAGGAGGAUUUCAGAAAAACCUGUAAAGACUUACAUGAACUGAUGCUGAGUGA